AAAGACUCUUGGAGAGCAUGGUUUGGGAAAAGGGCUCUUCAAUGUACAACUCUUUGACUGUUGCAAAACCAUCACUUUCUGCAGAAAUUAAUCGUCUGGGCCUGUUGGCUGAACCGAUGCCAUCCUUGGAUGCUAUUGCAAUGCACAUUAACCCAUCUUUGGGAAAUUUACCACCAGUGCCACCUUUACAGAAGAGUGACUUGGCCCCUAAUGGUCAUAUCUGUGAUAUCCGGUCACCGAAGAGAUUGUGUACUGAAUAUCGUAGUGUGCUGGUUGAGCGAAAUUCCUUCACAUCACCUGUGAAGGAUCGUUUUCUGGCUCUCACCAAUAUAAAGUCAAAGUUUCCUCCACCUUUGCAGUCUGCGUUUGCAAGUCCAACAAGACCAAACCCUGGUGGUGGAGGGGAAACAUGUGCUGAGACAUCCAUCAAUGUAUUCUUUGGCAAGAUUGUGAAGUUGGCUGCUGUCAGAAUCAAUGGCAUGAUUGAGCGGCUACAGCUUUCUCAACAAAUAAGAGAGACUGUAUAUUGCCUUUUUCAGAAGAUUCUCAGUCAGAGGACAAGUCUUUUCUUCAGCAGACAUAUUGACCAGAUCAUCCUUUGCUCUUUCUAUGGAGUUGCCAAGAUUUCACAACUUAACUUGACCUUCAAAGAAAUCAUAUACAACUACCGAAAGCAACCUCAGUGCAAACCACAAGUUUUUCGAAGUGUUUUUGUUGACUGGACAUCAGCGCGUCACAAUGGGAAAACAGGUUCAGAACAUGUGGAUAUCAUCACGUUCUACAAUGAAAUGUUUAUUCCUUCUGUUAAGCCAUUAUUAGUUGAGCUUGCACCUGCUGGAAAUGAGCAAAAGAAUAACCAUGUUGAAAAAACCAAGAAGGACGGGCAAGGACCAGCAUCCCCCAGAUCAUCUUCAUUUCCCAGUCUCCCCGACAUGUCUCCAAAGAAAGUAUCUGCUGUUCAUAAUGUUUAUGUCUCCCCGCUGCGAUCAUCGAAGGUUAGUGUCUAUGUUUUUCCAGUGUGACUUGAAGUUCAUAUUUCG
rnacentral:misc_RNA from 1 species